rnacentral:rRNA from 1 species
ACAUGCAAGUCGAACGCAACCUUUAGGGGUUGAGUGGCGGACGGGUGAGUAACGCGUGAGAAUCUGCCUUCAGGUUCGGGACAACCCCUGGAAACGGGGGCUAAUACCGAAUGUGCGCAACGUGAAAGAUUUAUCGCCUGAAGAUGAGCUCGCGUCUGAUUAGCUAGUUGGUGAGGUAAAAGCUUACCAAGGCGACGAUCAGUAGCUGGUCUGAGAGGAUGACCAGCCACACUGGGACUGAGACACGGCCCAGACUCCUACGGGAGGCAGCAGUGGGGAAUUUUCCGCAAUGGGCGAAAGCCUGACGGAGCAAGACCGCGUGAGGGAGGAAGGCUCUUGGGUUGUAAACCUCUUUUCUCAGGGAAGAAUUCAAUGACGGUACCUGAGGAAUCAGCCUCGGCUAACUCCGUGCCAGCAGCCGCGGUAAUACGGAGGAGGCAAGCGUUAUCCGGAAUUAUUGGGCGUAAAGCGUCCGCAGGUGGCACUUCAAGUCUGCCGUCUAAGACUGGGGCUUAACCCUGGAAAGGCGGUGGAAACUGAUUGCGUAGGUAAAGGAUUCCGGGUAGCGUUGAAUGCUUAGGAUCGGGAAGAACAUCGGUGGCGAAAGCGCUCUACUGGACCGCAACUGAC